AUGUGUUUUCAUGUUGAGAGAUUUUUGCCUUAUUGUCAAAUUGAAGCCGUUAUGGCUGACACUAACAAAGUUGACUUUGUAGACUGUUCUUGCAUUUACACAUAUCCUUGUGCAAACUUACAAACUAAUGAAACACAUACUGUACUAGGACCAGCACCUUUUCUACAUGUGACAGGCCAUGAGAAAACCAUGAACAAGUCGGCCAGGUGGCAAUUACAAAAGCUCUGUAUUUGCAUUACUUUGUAUAAACCAACCCCCCCCAGCAAUAAUUAUCAAUAGCUGUGUUAGCCAUUUUUAGGCAUUUCACAUCCACAAUUUACCAACUUCAGGCCCCAUUUACACAAGAAAGUUUUCUUUUGAAAACUCAAAAAUUUUGUUUCAUUUUGGCUUUGGCUGUCCAUUUACACUGCAGCGGCAUUUUGGGGCUUGAAAACUGAACUUUUUAAAGACGGUUUCCAGAGUGGAAAUUUUUUGAAAAUGCUUCCCUCUCUGUCUACGUGUACACAGGGAAACAACACUUUCUGUGUCACGGGCAUGCACACUGAGGCUGCAGUGCCUCAGAGGCUAGCUUUAAUCGGACCUACAAAUUUAAACCCGACCCGGUCGAUCUCUCUGAUCUGUUGGCCUGAACCCAGUGCUAACGACACUAUUUACAUAUGUACACUGCGCACAAUGGUUGGCAAGUUUCUUUAAUAACUCAGCUUUAUUUAAUAGCCAUUCAUUCUUCAUUCAACUGUGAACAUGACAAGCAGCUUCAUGUAUCGUACACGCUACGUACCAGUGUGGUAUUGCAACACACGCAACUCAGCAACCUACUCUCUCCAUAUGUGAAACACAUAGCAACACGACGAGUCAAGAACGAGUCAUUUAUGCAUUUAUAACAUCAUUUAUUCAUGUGCUAGAGGACAGCAACUAUUAACCUCAGCAAACAUUUCAGCAAACAUUGGAAUACAUCACCUGAGCGUUCAUUCACUGCUAGUGUCCCAGCCAAGUCCAACCAGAUCUUGUAUUAAAAAGAUAUAAAUUAAGCUCAACCGCUGGUUUGGUGAAAUAGCUCUCAGUAGGGGUGCAGCACUGUGAUUGUCAUCAGAAUCUGGUGCAGGCAUGAAAUAUGUCUCAGCUGAUCCAAGUGACGGUGAAGUAAAACAAUAGAAGUUCAGUUACAUUCCAGAGAGUGCACACGAACACUCUUACUUGUAUUCAGUGGAAGUGUCUCUGUUUAUGCACUUAUUUUGGUUAAUUGCAAAACAACACUGCCAUUUAUGACCUGGCAUGUAUAUUACACCAUUUUUAGUGCUUUCUGCUUUCUCAUGGAAAUAGCAAUUGUUUUGAAAACGUUGCCACGUGAAUGCGGAACUUUUUGGAAACAAAAACGGAAACAGAAGCAAAACAUUGUCAUGUAAACAGGGCCUCAGUGGCCACGGUUACAUGAUGUUUUUUUUUUUAAUUUGGAAUUAGUUAUUCCAAAUUAAAUCAUUCGGAGUUAAAGUGUUCUGCUUCAUAUUUACAUGGAAAUAGUAAAUCCCGAACUGAGGUUUACAUGAAAAAAUGGUUAUUUGGCUAUAGUUAUUUCCGCUUUACGUCUGGAGGUUGGGAAAGCUCUGAUUGGACAGGGGGAGAACGUGACGUAUCACGUCUAUCAGGAAAAACACACAACAAACCUUUUAUUGUCGGCUGUAACACAGAAAACCACACAAGAACUGUUUUCACCUUUAUUUUGAUUGUAGUUUUGAAGCAGCGGCUCGACAAUAACACACUUUGGUCCACGGAGCGGAAGAGAUAGGAACUAAUCACUGGUAAAUAAAGCCCAGUAAACAUUAACCA
ensembl:lncRNA